rnacentral:misc_RNA from 1 species
UCGUAACAAGGUUUCCGUAGGUGAACCUGCGGAAGGAUCAUUACCUAGAGUUGUAGGCUUUGCCUGCUAUCUCUUACCCAUGUCUUUUGAGUACCUUACGUUUCCUCGGUGGGUUCGCCCACCGAUUGGACAAACUUAAACCCUUUGCAGUUGAAAUCAGCGUCUGAAAAAACUUAAUAGUUACAACUUUCAACAACGGAUCUCUUGGUUCUGGCAUCGAUGAAGAACGCAGCGAAAUGCGAUAAGUAGUGUGAAUUGCAGAAUUCAGUGAAUCAUCGAAUCUUUGAACGCACAUUGCGCCCCUUGGUAUUCCAUGGGGCAUGCCUGUUCGAGCGUCAUUUGUACCUUCAAGCUCUGCUUGGUGUUGGGUGUUUGUCUCCUGUAGACUCGCCUUAAAACAAUUGGCAGCCGGCGUAUUGAUUUCGGAGCGCAGUACAUCUCGCGCUUUGCACUCAUAACGACGACAUCCAAAAGUACAUUUUUACACUCUUGACCUCGGAUCAGGUAGGGAUACCCGCUGAACUUAAGCAUAUCAAUAA